CCAAUAGCGUAUAUUAAAGUUGUUGCAGUUAAAAAGCUCGUAGUUGAAUUUCGGGAUCAAUAUGCCGGUCAUGCCUUGGUAUGCACUGGUAUCUUUGAUUUCUCCCUUCUGACGAACUUUGAUGUCAUUAAUUUGGUGUCAUAGGGAAUCAGGACUGUUACUUUGAAAAAAUUAGAGUGUUUAAAGUAGGCUCACGCUUG
rnacentral:rRNA from 1 species